CAACACUGAAGAACAAAGGAAUCAGCAUUGGACUGGGGAGGAAUCCUAAAUGAAAGAAGUUCAAGCUAGCAGGAUUGCCAGAACAUGUGGGUUCCCGCAGACUUCAGAGGGAUUUGUGCAAGCCUCAUUGUAUGACGGGAUGCCAAUGAGUGGCAGGGUGAGGAGGCAGGAGGAACCUCAGCGGAAGGUCCCGAGGAAGAGAAGCAUGUGAUUCUGCACCACUACCCACUUAAGGAAGCUCUCACUAACGAGGCUGAAAAGGACCUUGAGCUGCUGCAGGAACCAGAACCCAAGUAAGAAAGGCUGGAAUGUUUUUCAUCAGCUCCUUGCAGAUCACUCUUCUGAUGGACAGCUCAUGGAAUAUUAGAUCUGGC